UACAGAGGUCCCAAGCGUUGUUCGGAUUUACUGGGCGUAAAGGGCGCGUAGGCGGCCAGCACAAGUCAGUUGUGAAAUCUCCGAGCUUAACUCGGAAAGGUCAACUGAUACUGUGCGGCUAGAGUGCGGAAGGGGCAACUGGAAUUCUUGGUGUAGCGGUGAAAUGCGUAGAUAUCAAGAGGAACACCGGAGGCGAAGGCGGCUCACUGGGGGUCUUCUGACGCUGAGGAACGAAAGCCAGGGGAGCGAACGGG
rnacentral:rRNA from 1 species